ACGCUCGACACCUACUGGAGGCAGCAGUGGGGAAUAUUGCACAAUGGGGGAAACCCUGAUGCAGCGACGCCGCGUGAGCGAAGAAGUAUUUCGGUAUGUAAAGCUCUAUCAGCAGGGAAGAAACUGACGGUACCUGACCAAGAAGCACCGGCUAAAUACGUGCCAGCAGCCGCGGUAAUCUGAGCGGGCUGGCAAGGC
rnacentral:rRNA from 1 species